CGUUUUUGCAACUGGAGACAUCGAUGCAGGAAGUCCGGAUAGCGAAAAGAUCAUAGUAUUUCGUAAGCGUCAGUAAUGUGAAGUGACUCAAUGUUGGGGAAUUCCACAUGUUGAACCGCAAAGGACGUUUCGC
ensembl:ncRNA R03E9.9 ncRNA